rnacentral:rRNA from 1 species
AUUGAACGCUGGCGGCAGGCCUAACACAUGCAAGUCGAGCGGAUGAAGGGAGCUUGCUCCUGGAUUCAGCGGCGGACGGGUGAGUAAUGCCUAGGAAUCUGCCUGGUAGUGGGGGAUAACGUCCGGAAACGGGCGCUAAUACCGCAUACGUCCUGAGGGAGAAAGUGGGGGAUCUUCAGACCUCACGCUAUCAGAUGAGCCUAGGUCGGAUUAGCUAGUUGGUGGGGUAAAGGCCUACCAAGGCGACGAUCCGUAACUGGUCUGAGAGGAUGAUCAGUCACACUGGAACUGAGACACGGUCCAGACUCCUACGGGAGGCAGCAGUGGGGAAUAUUGGACAAUGGGCGAAAGCCUGAUCCAGCCAUGCCGCGUGUGUGAAGAAGGUCUUCGGAAUGUAAAGCACUUUAAGUUGGGAGGAAGGGCAGUAAGUUAAUACCUUGCUGUUUUGACGUUACCAACAGAAUAAGCACCGGCUAACUUCGUG